rnacentral:rRNA from 1 species
UACAGGGGGUGCAAACGUUGCUCGGAAUCAUUGGGCGUAAAGCGCACGUAGGCGGUUCGUUAUGUCGGAUGUGAAGCCCUUGGCUUAACCGAGGAAGUGCAUCCGAAACUGGCGAGCUAGAGUACGAAAGAGGAUCGCGGAAUUCCCGGUGUAGAGGUGAAAUUCGUAGAUAUCGGGAGGAACACCGGUGGCGAAGGCGGCGAUCUCGGGUCGAUACUGACGCUGAGGUGCGAAAGCGUGGGAGCAAACAGG